rnacentral:rRNA from 1 species
GACGAACGCUGGCGGCGUGCUUAACACAUGCAAGUCGAACGGAAAGGCCCUGCUUUUGUGGGGUGCUCGAGUGGCGAACGGGUGAGUAACACGUGAGUAACCUGCCCUUGACUUUGGGAUAACUUCAGGAAACUGGGGCUAAUACCGGAUAGGAGCUCCUGCUGCAUGGUGGGGGUUGGAAAGUUUCGGCGGUUGGGGAUGGACUCGCGGCUUAUCAGCUUGUUGGUGGGGUAGUGGCUUACCAAGGCUUUGACGGGUAGCCGGCCUGAGAGGGUGACCGGCCACAUGGGGACUGAGAUACGGCCCAGACUCCUACGGGAGGCAGCAGUGGGGAAUAUUGCACAAUGGGAGGAAGCCUGAUGAAGCAACGCCGCGUGCGGGAUGACGGCCUUCGGGUUGUAAACCGCUUUCGCCUGUGACGAAGCGUGAGUGACGGUAAUGGGUAAAGAAGCACCGGCUAACUACGUG